rnacentral:rRNA from 1 species
UACGAAGGGGGCUAGCGUUGUUCGGAAUCACUGGGCGUAAAGCGCACGCAGGCGGAUUGAUAAGUCAGGGGUGAAAUCCCGAGGCUCAACCUCGGAACUGCCUUUGAUACUGGGAAUCUUGAGUUCGGGAGAGGUGAGUGGAAUUGCGAGUGUAGAGGUGAAAUUCGUAGAUAUUCGCAAGAACACCAGUGGCGAAGGCGGCUCACUGGCCCGAUACUGACGCUGAGGUGCGAAAGCGUGGGGAGCAAACAGG